CCUACGGGGGGCAGCAGCCGCGGUAAUACGUAGGUGGCGAGCGUUAUCCGGAAUGAUUGGGCGUAAAGGGUGCGUAGGCGGCCUGCUAAGUCUGGAGUGAAAGGUACCGGCUCAACCGGUACAGGCUCUGGAAACUGGCGGGCUAGAGAGCAGGAGAGGGCGGUGGAACUCCAUGUGUAGCGGUAAAAUGCGUAGAUAUAUGGAAGAACACCAGUGGCGAAGGCGGCCGCCUGGCCUGUUACUGACGCUGAGGCACGAAAGCGUGGGGAGCAAAUAGGAUUAGAUACCCGAGUAGUCCCAGAUCG
rnacentral:rRNA from 1 species